UACGGCCACAUGAUGUUGAAACAUUGGUUCCCGUACGUUUACCGAAGUUAAGCAACAUCGAGCCUUGUCAGUACCUCGAUGGGUGACCGUUUUCGAAUACUAGCUGCUGUAAG